rnacentral:rRNA from 1 species
GAUGAACGCUAGCGGGAGGCUUAACACAUGCAAGUCGAGGGGUAGGGAAGCAAUUCCUGAGACCGGCGAACGGGCGCGUAACGCGUAUGCAACUUGCCUUAUACAGGGGGAUAGCCCGUGGAAACGCGGAUUAACACCCCAUAUGUCAUAAUUAUCGCAUGGUAUUUAUGAUAAAACUGAGGUGGUAUAAGAUGGGCAUGCGUCUGAUUAGCUUGUUGGUAAGGUAACGGCUUACCAAGGCGACGAUCAGUAGGGGUUCUGAGAGGAUAAUCCCCCACACUGGUACUGAGACACGGACCAGACUCCUACGGGAGGCAGCAGUGAGGAAUAUUGGUCAAUGGGCGCGAGCCUGAACCAGCCAUUCCGCGUGAAGGAAGAAGGCGUUCUGCGUUGUAAACUGCUUUUAUCUGGGAAGAAAAGGCCCAUGCGUGGGACAUUGCCGGUACCAGAUGAAUAAGCACCGGCUAACUCCGUGCCAGCAGCCGCCGUAAGAC